rnacentral:tRNA from 1 species
UCCCUGAUGGUCCAGUGGUUAAGACUCUGUGCUUCCACUGCAGAGAGCACAGGUUUGAUCUCUGGUCAGGGAA